CAGAACAUACACUUACAUCUCUAGAUAACAGUCUGCACUUUCACCCGUUUCAGGAUGAAUCAGAGAAGAGUAUCUGUUGAGAGACCCCUAAAACCUAUUCUGCUUCCAUGAAACACAACAGAUACGCUGAGAAGCAAAGUCCUUUCCUCUGGUUACAGGAACACUGAAAGUCAUUAUAACCAUUGAUGACAGAAUGUUUUGAUUAUUACUAAGCAUGUUCAGUCUGGAAGAUGAGAAGUCUUACUUGGCUGUGUCCUAGGAACUGAUGACUUAGGAACAGUAUUGACAACUCUGUGUGUUCUGCUGAGGGCCAGUGAAUUCUAUACACAUUAAACGUUGUAGAUUGAAUAAAUGUUUACACAUAAACAUACUACUAUGGAUAUAUGUAUAUAAAGACUGUUGUGAUUAAUAAAAUUUGUAUUUAUUU
rnacentral:sRNA from 1 species